CCUACGGGUGGCUGCAGUGGGGAAUAUUGGACAAUGGGGGCAACCCUGAUCCAGCCAUGCCGCGUGUGUGAAGAAGGCCCUCGGGUUGUAAAGCACUUUCAGUGAGGAAGAACGCCUGGUGGUUCAUACCCAUCAGGAAAGACAUCACUCACAGAAGAAGCACCGGCUAACUCCGUGCCAGCAGCCGCGGUAAUACGGAGGGUGCGAGCGUUAAUCGGAAUUACUGGGCGUAAAGCGCGCGUAGGUGGCUUGAUAAGCCGGUUGUGAAAGCCCCGGGCUCAACCUGGGAACGGCAUCCGGAACUGUCAAGCUAGAGUGCAGGAGAGGAAGGUAGAAUUCCCGGUGUAGCGGUGAAAUGCGUAGAGAUCGGGAGGAAUACCAGUGGCGAAGGCGGCCUACUGGACUGACACUGACACUGAGGUGCGAAAGCGUGGGUAGCAAACAGGAUUAGAUACCCUAGUAGUC
rnacentral:rRNA from 1 species